UACGAAGGGAGCUAGCGUUGUUCGGAAUUACUGGGCGUAAAGCGCGCGCAGGCGGUCUUCCAAGUCAGUGGUGAAAGCCCGGAGCUCAACUCCGGAACUGCCAUUGAAACUGUAAGACUUGAGGACGAGAGAGGUGAGUGGAAUUCCCAGUGUAGAGGUGAAAUUCGUAGAUAUUGGGAAGAACACCGGUGGCGAAGGCGGCUCACUGGCUCGUUUCUGACGCUCAGGCGCGACAGCGUGGGGAUCAAACAGG
rnacentral:rRNA from 1 species